AUGGCCUGUUCCUAUCUCCUCUUCACAUUCCUUGUUCAGUGUACAGGAUCCUGGGCCCAGUCUGUGCUGACUCAGCAGCCCUCACUCUCUGGGACUCCAGGACAGAGGGUCACUAUCUCCUGCACUGGAAGCAGCAACAAUAUUGGUAGAUAUGAUGUGCAAUGGUACCAACAGAUUCAAGAAAUGGCCCCCAAACUCCUCAUCUAUGAUGAUAGUAAUCGAUACUCAGGAAUCCCUGAUCGUUUCUCUGGCUCCAAGUCUGGCAACUCUGCUUCACUGACCAUCACUGGGCUCCAGCCUGAGGAUGAGGCAGUCUAUUACUGUCAGUCUUAUGAUAACAGCUUCGAUGCUCGCACAGUGCUCCAGGCUCAUGGGGAACUUGAGGAGCUGAACAGGAUGGUGAAUUCUCUUUGUCCUGAAAAUUAA